CUUGGUCAUUUAGAGGAAGUAAAAGUCGUAACAAGGUUUCCGUAGGUGAACCUGCGGAAGGAUCAUUACCGAAUUGUCAACACGAGUUGUUGCUGGUCCUCAAACGGGGGCAUGUGCACGCUCUGUUUACACAUCCACUCACACCUGUGCACCCUCUGUAGUUCUGUGGUCUGAGGGGCUCUGUCCUCUCGCCGUGGUUCUAUGUCUUUACACACGCACUGUAAUAAAGUUUCAUGGAAUGCAUGACGCGUUUAACGCAAUACAAUACAACUUUCAGCAACGGAUCUCUUGGCUCUCGCAUCGAUGAAGGACGCAGCGAAAUGCGAUAAGUAAUGUGAAUUGCAGAAUUCAGUGAAUCAUCGAAUCUUUGAACGCACCUUGCGCCCUUUGGCUAUUCCAGAGGGCAUGCCUGUUUGAGUAUCAUGAACACCUCAACUCUCACGGUUCGCCGUGAUGAGCUUGGACUUUGGGGGUCUUGCUGGCCUGUGGUCGACUCCUCUCAAAUGAAUCAGCUUGCCAGUGUUUGGUGGCAUCGCAGGUGUGAUAACUAUCUACGCUUGUGGUUUUCCACCAGGUAACCUUCAGUGAUGGAGGUUCGCUGGGGCUCACAAAUGUCUCUCCUCAGCGAGGACAGCUUCUUGAAUGUUUGAUCUCAAAUCAGGUAGGGCUACCCGCUGAACUUAAGCAUAUCAAUAAGCGGAGGA
rnacentral:rRNA from 1 species